AGGGUUUGAGUAUUACAUCAGGUACUGGUUCGGUUUUGAAAAACCGGUCCCUGAGUAACACUUACAUUCU
rnacentral:pre_miRNA from 15 species